rnacentral:sRNA from 2 species
CAAUAUCAUUAGCCUAAGUUUUAUAAAAAACACGGGGAAACCAGUACUAUUUUGGGGUGAAUCGUAAUUUAUUACGUAGGUUAUGCCUUUUCCGAACCCGUCAGCUAACCCCGUCGGUAAUAAGGAGGAUAUAU